rnacentral:rRNA from 1 species
AUUGAACGCUGGCGGCAUGCCUUACACAUGCAAGUCGAACGGUAACAGGUCUUCGGAUGCUGACGAGUGACGAACGGGUGAGUAAUACAUCGGAACGUGCCUAGUAGUGGGGGAUAACUACUCGAAAGAGUGGCUAAUACCGCAUGAGAUCUACGGAUGAAAGCAGGGGAUCGCAAGACCUUGUGCUACUAGAGCGGCCGAUGGCAGAUUAGGUAGUUGGUGGGAUAAAAGCUUACCAAGCCGACGAUCUGUAGCUGGUCUGAGAGGACGAUCAGCCACACUGGGACUGAGACACGGCCCAGACUCCUACGGGAGGCAGCAGUGGGGAAUUGUGGACAAUGGGCGAAAGCCUGAUCCAGCAAUGCCGCGUGCAGGAUGAAGGCCUUCGGGUUGUAAACUGCUUUUGUACGGAACGAAAAGCCCCGGGUUAAUACCCUGGGGUCAUGACGGUACCGUAAGAAUAAGCACCGGCUAACUACGUGCCAGCCGCCGCGGUAA